CCUUCAUUUCUUGGCAGGGACUGGGUGUGUAGAAGGAAAAGGCUUGAGCCUUCUUGGGGUCAUGUCUUUGGUGCUAGCAACUUCUUGUUCACCGGUUCUAUCCCCAAGUGCCAGGACACAU
ensembl:snoRNA